GGGAUUCCAUUAUAAGAGGUGUGGAGAUGGACAAUGGUGGUCUUGUGAGGUGUUUUCCCGGAGCUACUGCUCACAGAGACAGGAGACGUAUCUGUAAUAUUGUUAAGCAAGCAAAGCAGGAAGGGGAAUUGGAUGUACUUGUCCAUCUAGGGACAAAUGACUUGGCUUGCAAUGAGGUUUCAGAGGUUAAGGAAGUUUUUAGUGUUUUUGCCAAUG